AACGAACGCUGGCGGCGGGCCUCAUACAUGCAAGUCGAGCGCGAAAGUCCGCAAGGAUGAGUAAAGCGGCGCACGGGUGAGUAACACGUGGGUAAUCUACCUUUUUGGAUUGGAAUAACCUGUCGAAAGACGGGCUAAUGCCGAGUAAGCCUUCUUGAACGUGAAGUUCGAGACGGGAAAGAUGGCGCAAGCUAUCGCCGAAAGAUGAGCCUGCGUCCCAUUAGUUAGUUGGUGGGGUAAUGGCUUACCAAGACAAUGAUGGGUACCUGGUUUGAGAGAAUGAUCAGGCACACUGGAACUGAAACACGGUCCAGACUCCUACGGGAGGCAGCAGUAGGGAAUAUUGCGCAAUGGACGAAAGUCUGACGCAGCCACGCCGCGUGAGUGAGGAAGGCC
rnacentral:rRNA from 1 species